UGCGGUUAUACAAAAAUUAAAUUAAUUUCUUUUAGGAUUUAAUAAAUAAAAAUUUAUUUAAUAAUUUAAAUUUUAAAUUAUAAAGUGAAAUUUUAAUUUAAUUAAAAUUUAUUUAUUUUUAUGACAUUAAUAAAUUUUAUAAAAAACUAGGAUUAGAUACCCUAUUAUAAAAAUUUAAAAUUAAUAAUCUUAAAAUAGUAUAUAAUUUUUUAUAGAAACUUAAAUAAUUUGGCGGUAUUUUAGUUCAUUUAGAGGAAUCUGUCUAAUAAUUGAUAAUCCACGAUUAAAUUUACUUAAUUUUUAAUUUUGUAUAUCGUUGUUAAAAAAAUAUUUUUUGAUAAAAAUAAUAUUUUAAAAUUUAAAUAAAAAAUUAAAUCAGAUCAAGAUGCAGAUUAUAAUUAAGAAUAUGAUGGAUUACAAUAAAUUUUAUUUUAUUUGGAUAUUAAUUUGAAAUAAAUUAAUUGAAAUUGGAUUUAAAUGUAAUUUUAUUAAUUUUGUUAAAAUGAUUUUAAAUUAAAAUAUGUACAUAUUGCCCGUCGCUUUCAUUUAUAAAUUGAAAUAAGUCGUAACAAAGUAGAGGUACUGGAAAGUGUUUCUAGAAAGAU
rnacentral:rRNA from 1 species